GAUGAACGCUAGCGGCAGGCCUAAUACAUGCAAGUCGGACGGGAUUGGAGAGCUUGCUUUCCAUGAGAGUGGCGCACGGGUGCGUAACACGUAUGUAACCUACCUUUGUCAGGGGGAUAGCCUCUCGAAAGAGAGAUUAAGCCCGCAUAACAUCACGAUACAGCAUUGUAAUGUGAUCAAAUAUUUAUAGGACAGAGAUGGCAUGCGGAACAUUAGCUAGUUGGUAAGGUAAUGGCUUACC
rnacentral:rRNA from 1 species